rnacentral:rRNA from 1 species
UAAUACCAGCACCCCGAGUGGUCGGGACGAUUAUUGGGCCUAAAGCAUCCGUAGCCGGUUCUGCAAGUCUCCCGUUAAAUCCAACUGCUCAACAGGUGGGCUGCGGAGGAUACUACAGAGCUAGGAGGCAGGAGAGGCAAGCGGUACUCAGUGGGUAGGGGUAAAAUCCGUUGAUCCAUUGAAGACCACCAGUGGCGAAGGCGG